rnacentral:rRNA from 1 species
GUGGGGAAUAUUGGGCAAUGGGGGCAACCCUGACCCAGCAACGCCGCGUGAAGGAAGAAGGCUUUCGGGUUGUAAACUUCUUUUAUCAGGGACGAUAAUGACGGUACCUGAUGAAUAAGCCACGGCUAACUACGUGCCAGCAGCCGCGGUAAUACGUAGGUGGCAAGCGUUGUCCGGAUUUACUGGGUGUAAAGGGCGCGUAGGCGGGUAGGCAAGUCAGAUGUGAAAUACCGCAGCUUAACUGCGGAGCUGCAUUUGAAACUGUUUAUCUUGAGUAUCGGAGAGGCAGGCGGAAUUCCUAGUGUAGCGGUGAAAUGCGUAGAUAUUAGGAGGAACACCAGUGGCGAAGGCGGCCUGCUGGACGACAACUGACGCUGAGGCGCGAAAGCGUGGGGAGCAAACAGG